UACGAAGGGGGCUAGCGUUGCUCGGAAUUACUGGGCGUAAAGGGCGCGUAGGCGGACAGCUUAGUCAGAGGUGAAAGCCCAGGGCUCAACCUUGGAAUUGCCUUUGAUACUGGCUAUCUUGAGUUCGGGAGAGGUGAGUGGAAUGCCGAGUGUAGAGGUGAAAUUCGUAGAUAUUCGGCGGAACACCAGUGGCGAAGGCGGCUCACUGGCCCGAUACUGACGCUGAGGCACGAAAGCGUGGGGAGCAAACAGG
rnacentral:rRNA from 1 species